rnacentral:rRNA from 1 species
UACGAACUGUGCGAACGUUAUUCGGAAUCACUGGGCUUACAGGGUGCGUAGGCGGCUUGUUAAGUAGGGUGUGAAAGCCCCCGGCUCAACCGGGGAAUUGCGCCCUAAACUGGCGAGCUGGAGUGAGAUAGGGGUGUGUGGAACUUCCGGUGGAGCGGUGAAAUGUGUUGAUAUCGGAAGGAACGCCGGUGGCGAAGGCAGCCCCCUGGGUCAAGACUGACGCUCAUGCACGAAAGCGUGGGGAGCAAACAGG